GACGAACGCUGGCGGCGUGCUUAACACAUGCAAGUCGAACGGAAAGGCCCUGCUUUUGUGGGGUGCUCGAGUGGCGAACGGGUGAGUAACACGUGAGUAACCUGCCCUUGACUUUGGGAUAACUUCAGGAAACUGGGGCUAAUACCGGAUAGGAGCUCCUGCUGCAUGGUGGGGGUUGGAAAGUUUCGGCGGUUGGGGAUGGACUCGCGGCUUAUCAGCUUGUUGGUGGGGUAGUGGCUUACCAAGGCUUUGACGGGUAGCCGGCCUGAGAGGGUGACCGGCCACAUUGGGACUGAGAUACGGCCCAGAGUCCUACGGGAGACAGCAGUGGGGAAUAUUGCACAAUGGGCGGAAGCCUGAUGCAGCAACGCCGCGUGCGGGAUGACGGCCUUCGGGUUGUAAACCGCUUUCGCCUGUGACGAAGCGUGAGUGACGGUAAUGGGUAAAGAAGCACCGGCUAACUACGUG
rnacentral:rRNA from 1 species